UACGUAGGGUGCAAGCGUUUGUCCGGAAUUAUUGGGCGUAAAGAGCUCGUAGGCGGUUUGUCGCGUCGGCUGUGAAAUCCCGAGGCUCAACCUCGGGCCUGCAGUCGAUACGGGCAAACUAGAGUGUGGUAGGGGAGACUGGAAUUCCUGGUGUAGCGGUGAAAUUCGUAGAUAUCGGGAGGAACACCGGUGGCGAAGGCGGCGAUCUGGGUCGAUACUGACGCUGAGGUGCGAAAGCGUGGGGGAGCAAACAGG
rnacentral:rRNA from 1 species